ensembl:ncRNA F57B7.10 ncRNA
UUCAUCAGAAUCACAACAAUGUGCCACCCGACCUGUGUGUCUUAUUUUGGCAAAGUCCCUCACUCAUUCCGUGGCACAAUUUAAAAUGCAAAUUCGAGGCGGGUGUGCCCCCUGCUUCUCCGCCCCGAAAUUCUCACGUCCGGAUUUGCGACAGCGGUGUUUAUUGAACGAGUUACAGCGUCGACGGCGCCGCUUCACAGGAGUGGUUCUUCCUU